GACGAACGCUGGCGGCGUGCCUAAUACAUGCAAGUAGAACGCUGAAGCGAGGAGCUUGCUCUUCUUGGAUGAGUUGCGAACGGGUGAGUAACGCGUAGGUAACCUGCCUGGUAGCGGGGGAUAACUAUUGGAAACGAUAGCUAAUACCGCAUAAAAUUGAUUAUUGCAUGAUAAUUGAUUGAAAGAUGCAACUGCAUCACUACCAGAUGGACCUGCGUUGUAUUAGCUAGUUGGUGAGGUAACGGCUCACCAAGGCGACGAUACAUAGCCGACCUGAGAGGGUGAUCGGCCACACUGGGACUGAGACACGGCCCAGACUCCUACGGGAGGCAGCAGUAGGGAAUCUUCGGCAAUGGGGGGAACCCUGACCGAGCAACGCCGCGUGAGUGAAGAAGGUUUUCGGAUCGUAAAGCUCUGUUGUAAGAGAAGAACGGGUGUGAGAGUGGAAAGUUCACACUGUGACGGUAUCUUACCAGAAAGGGACGGCUAACUACGUG
rnacentral:rRNA from 1 species